rnacentral:rRNA from 1 species
GACGAACGCUGGCGGCGUGCCUAAUACAUGCAAGUCGAACGCUUCUUUCCUCCCGAGUGCUUGCACUCCAUUGGAAAGAGGAGUGGCGGACGGGUGAGUAACACGUGGGUAACCUACCCAUCAGAGGGGGAUAACACUUGGAAACAGGUGCUAAUACCGCAUAACAGUUUAUGCCGCAUGGCAUAAGAGUGAAAGGCGCUUUCGGGUGUCGUUGAUGGAUGGACCCGCGGUGCAUUAGCUAGUUGGUGAGGUAACGGCUCACCAAGGCCACGAUGCAUAGCCGACCUGAGAGGGUGAUCGGCCACACUGGGACUGAGACACGGCCCAGACUCCUACGGGAGGCAGCAGUAGGGAAUCUUCGGCAAUGGACGAAAGUCUGACCGAGCAACGCCGCGUGAGUGAAGAAGGUUUUCGGAUCGUAAAACUCUGUUGUUAGAGAAGAACAAGGACGUUAGUAACUGAACGUCCCCUGACGGUAUCUAACCAGAAAGCCACGGCUAACUACGUG